AAGAGAACUUAAGGGUCAAAACUUUUCUCAAACUCCUUUAGCAAACAAAUGCGCCAAGUAUGGAAAGAGAGAGACCCGAAUCUCCCCAUCGAUAGGUUUCUUUGGAUGAAUCGUAUAUUUAACCAGUCGAUCAUAAUAGCAAUUUGAGGAAAGAAGGUUUGAUUUCCUAAACGUGGUCUCGUCUCAGAUUGGACUCCCGACAGUACCCGCAAGCGACCAGCGAGCAGAUUAGGGUUUUCAACCAGCGACCAUAAAUUGAAGCGAGCGACCAUGGACGACGGAAAAAAUAAGAGUAGCUUUGUAUUUUCAGAAAGCAGCAAUUCAUUUCAUUGACGCCAGUGCAGCCGUUACAGCCAGUACUUGUGUUCUGCCAAAGGUGUAGAAGAAUCAGAAUUUCUAUGAUUCUAGUCUACAACAAAGGAUCUUAGAAGGUGGUUGAAGCAUUGAUUUCAAAACCUUUUCUCUCCACUGAUUCAAGGAACUUACGUAUGCAAUUAGGAGGAUUGAGAUUCAAAGAAUGUAAAGGAUUGAUUAUCACCAGUUCAUUAGGAGUAGAAGAAUUAGAAUUUUUAUGAUUCCAGUCUACAAUAAAGGUCAAAUACUAUGCUUCUUCAUUUUUAUUAUCACCAUGACAAUUCAUUAUAUGUUUAAAAAGUUGAUUGUUUUAGGGGGUCAAGUGCCUUAAGUAGCUAUUUUAUUUUUAUUAUUGUGCAUAAAUGGAGGUCGGGAAAUUGUUGCGGAUGGAGUUUGGUUUUCAUUCAUCGCAUAUUACGGUGUAUAAGGGGUUACGUGCCUUAAGUGGCCAUUUUUUUUUAUUAUAAUUGUGCAUAAAUGAAGGUGGGAAAAAUAUUGCGAAUGGAGUUUGGUUGCCUUUUGUACUCUAAACAAAUAUUCAUAUACAUAAUCUAGCUUAAGACAUAUUUUGUUUAAUAAAAUCGAACUUGUAGAAGCCCAAAAAGCCUUAAAAUAGUUUUGACAUUGUGUAAAAAUGGAAGCCAUUAUAUAAAUAUAAUGUAGCCUGCCAUACCCUAAUGUGUCACAGUCCAGCUAAUUGUAGAUGAGCUUUUCUGAACAGUAUAACAACUUUGUCAAUAUCUAUACUCAUGUGACAGUUUGAAUAGGGCUUUGUGGUUCUUUUGUUCUUUUUAAUUUUUUCCUUUUCUUUUAGGAAUAAUCCUUGAUUUCAUCUUAAGUCACUGGAAUGGGAUUGAAUGAAUCAAAGAUAGUUUGCGCUGUGAAAGUUGAGUAAAUAUAUAUAUGUAAUUUAGUUUCUGUGCUAUUGUGGUUUGCUUACACUAUUUGGUGAGGGUUCCAGAGGAUGGUAUAAUCAUGGAAGCUUGCAGUGGGAUCAAACCAUAGACGGAUAAUCUAUUUUUUGUCCAGUGUAUCAAUUGCGUACACAUUUGUUUGGACUAAGUAUGCUUUUAUCUCUUUGACAUAUAGGAAUUCUAGUUCAACCCAAUUUUCUGGAGUUUAGGUUAUGAACGAUUUGAUUUGCCCGAAAAAAAAAAAAAGUAUAUAUAUUCUUAUAAUUCUUCUUAACUAGUGGUGGAAUCGAACUAGUUAUAUAAAAUUACAAAAAAAAAAAAAAAAAAAAAAAAAAAUUAAUAAUAUAUUAUUAUUAUUAUUAUGAACAUGUGAUAUAUAUAUAUUUUUUUUACCUUGAAAAUUGUUGCAACUCUUGUGGAGUCAUUGCCGGGGAGCUUCAUACUCAUGCUGAAGGAACCAGAGCCAUAACUUGACUUUGAAAUAAAUUUAGCUCCUGUUUAUUUGUGUAAAUCAUCAACUAGUAUAUAUAAUUAAUUAGCCAGAAAAUGACAUAAGAAGAAAAAGACUUAGAUAAACCUUUUUGAGAGCUUUGAUAACUAAGGGCUGUUUCUAUACCACACUGUAUUAGCCUAUUGCUUAAUGGUAUGUGUUAAUGAAAGAGUUAAAUGUGAUUUUAUUUAAUUAAUACAAUCAAUCACCACACAUCGGUGUUUUGUUCCCUAACAUUCAAAGAGGGCUAACCCUUAAGAAAAUACUAAAAAUAUUACUGGAAGUACAUUACAAAGACAAUGGAUAAUGUAUAAAUUAAAGGAAUAAAGUAUGGGAGAGAAAGGUAUUCAAGAUUCCUUUAAGACUAUUUUGUUAAAAAAAUUAUAUUAUCUAAUUAGUAUAUAUUUAAUAGAAAGUGAUAGUUUCAUGAAGGGACAGGUUUUUUUCAAAAUCAAUGGAUCAUAUGCUUAUUUUUGGACUGUUGUGCUAUGUGAUUCUCUGUUGAAAACACAAUCUAAUGAUGGCAGGAUUUGCAGCUGAAAGCAAAUCAACACAAUCUAAUGUACUUGAUUUCUUGAGGGUUUUUUUUGCAUGUGGUUAGUGUUUUUAGACUACAUAGACCAUUAUCAACCUAGUUAGGUGAAGCUUGAUUAUUUGUCUUGUGUGUAAUUUAUAGUAAAAGAAAACAAAGAAUAUAUUAUUAAUACACAACUUGUACAUGGAGUGUAAUUAGUCAGGCGAUUCAAAAAUGUCAUGGACACCUGAUCACUGAGUGUAAUACGAUCCUAUAUUUAUGGUUCGAGUCGGCUAGAAUAUAUAUUCUCUUUAUCUCAUGAAUAUAAAGAGAUUAUGAUAUUGUAUGUUAUCAUACAUCCUUGUAAAAAUCUAGUAUUCAAUUAAGGAAAAUUAUCUGCUUGAAAUAUUUUUGGCAGAUCUGAGGAAGAAAUUCUUAACAAAAUGUUUGUGUUUGAUUCAUAAAUGAUAAUCUUGUUCUUUCCCUUUUUUAUUAGCAUUCUGAAUUUGAGACUUGUGUGAUGCAGCUACUUCUUUGGAUUUUGUACAGUAGAUUUUGCAGCUAGUUCCUUGGAUUUUGUACAGUGAGGUGGUUUUUUGACAAGUGCAGAUUGAAACUCAAGUGCUAGAAGAUUUAUCAAUUUUUCAACAGAAGUGUUAGGAAAUUGAUGAUUUUCUUCACAAAUGGAUUUACUUCCUCUUUUGGAACUUUGAUAAAUGUUGAAUUGUUUUGGCACAUUGAUAAAUGAUGAAUUAUAAAAAUGUUUUAACUUUUUUGAUA